CCCCCCCACCCCCCACGACUGGGUGCUUGGAGGACCGGGCAGCUCCUGCCUCUCCAGCCUGUGCGCUCACAAAGGCGCCCUCUGUCUCAGCCUCCCCAGAACAGGCCUCCCCCUCGGCCGCCCACCCUCUCCCACUCCCCCCCAACACACAGGCACUUCCUACAGGAGCAGCUUCCAAGCCGAGUUCCUGGCGGGCACUGUCCCCCAACAGCAAGCUGGAACAAAGGCCGCAUGACUGAGUGCGCCCGUGCCUGUCAGGGCGCGGGGAAGAAAUCAGAGCUCCACAGCCAGCCUGGCCUGGAGGGAAAGGCAAGCCGAGGCCUUGCUCCUGUAACUGCCAAACCGUCCCCCCACACCGGCCUGCCUUUUCCCAUGCUGGCCCGGGGUCCUCGUCCUCUUGGCCUGGAUUCAAAAGGGCAGUACAAGAAGUGGAAUCCCAAGAAUGGUCUCCCUGAGCUCCAGCCUAUGGAAUGAAACCAUGGCAUCUGUUUAUCAGUACCUUGGUUUUCAAGUUCAAAAACUUUACCCUGUCCAUGAUAACUGGAACACUGCCUGCUUUGUCAUUCUGCUUUUAUUUAUGUUUAUAGUGGUAUCGUUAGUGGUGCUGGCUUUCCUUUAUGAAGUGCUUGC